rnacentral:lncRNA from 1 species
ACUGCCCUCAUAGAAUCACUAAGAUUCAUACACAAUCAACAGAGAAGAGCACCCUACUAUAUGCAUCUAUAGUAUUACACGAUUUCCCAGAUUUACUUGCUGAAAACACUCAAGAAUCGACCCUAAUCCACAAAGGAGAAGGAAGUCUUCACCGAGAAGAGAGAACCCAAGAAGCCCUCUCUAAAACCAAGAAUAAAGUCUCUCUCACAAAUCUGAAAAUCACCAAAAAUGGAGUCUCCACAUAGGAAGAAAACGGUCAGCAAUCUGACCGAAAAACCUAGAAUAUUUCUCCCGAAAAUAUCCAAAAUAAAAGACCUUAAAUCACCAAGAAGAAGGUCUUUUUCGCAGGGAAGAAAGAGAGAGCAGA